UACGGAGGGUGCGAGCGUUGUCCGGAAUCACUGGGCGUAAAGGGCGCGUAGGUGGCGCAGGAAGUCAACGGUGAAAGUUCGGGGCUCAACCCUGAAUCGGCCGUCGAUACUCCUGGGCUCGAGCACUGUAGAGGCAGAUGGAAUUCCGGGUGUAGCGGUGGAAUGCGUAGAGAUCCGGAAGAACACCGGUGGCGAAGGCGGGUCUGCU
rnacentral:rRNA from 1 species